CCUACGGGGGUCAGCAGUGGGGCAUAUUGCGCAAUGGGCGAAAGCCUGACGCAGCGACGCCGCGUGAGGGAUGAAGGUCUUCGGAUCGUAAACCUCUGUCAGCAGGGAAGAACGGUCACUGUGCUAAUCAGCAGUGAAUUGACGGUACCUGCAAAGGAAGCACCGGCUAACUCCGUGCCAGCAGCCGCGGUAAUACGGAGGGUGCGAGCGUUAAUCGGAAUUACUGGGCGUAAAGCGCUCGUAGGCGGUAUGUCAAGUCAAGGGUGAAAGCCCCGCGCUCAACGUGGGAACUGCCUUUGAAACUGGCAAACUGGAGUGUGUGAGAGGAUAGUGGAAUUCCAGGUGUAGGAGUGAAAUCCGUAGAUAUCUGGAGGAACAUCAGUGGCGAAGGCGACUAUCUGGCACAUAACUGACGCUGAGGAGCGAAAGCGUGGGUAGCAAACAGGAUUAGAUACCCUAGUAGUC
rnacentral:rRNA from 1 species